rnacentral:rRNA from 1 species
GACGAACGCUGGCGGCGUGCUUAACACAUGCAAGUCGAACGAAGAGCGACGGAAGCUUGCUUCUAUCAAUCUUAGUGGCGAACGGGUGAGUAACGCGUAAUCAACCUGCCCUUCAGAGGGGGACAACAGUUGGAAACGACUGCUAAUACCGCAUACGAACUAACCUCGGCAUCGAGGCUAGAUGCAAGGUGGCCCCUACAUGUAAGCUAUCACUGAAGGAGGGGAUUGCGUCUGAUUAGCGAGUUGGAGGGGUAACGGCCCACCGAGGCGAUGCUCAGUAGCCGGUAUGAGAGGAUGGACGGCCACAUUGGGACGGAGAAACGGCCCAGAUUCCUACGGGAGGCAGCAGGGGGGAAUCUGCCGCAAUGGACGAAAGACUGACGGAGCAACGCCGCGUGAGUGAUGACGGCCUUCGGGUUGUAAAGCUCUGUUAAUCGGGACGAAAGGCCUUCUUGCGAAUAGUGAGAAGGAUUGACGGUACCGGAGGAGAAAGCCACGGCUAACUACGUG